AUUGAACGCUGGCGGCAGGCUUAACACAUGCAAGUCGAGCGGGGUGAUGGUGCUUGCACUAUCACUUAGCGGCGGACGGGUGAGUAAUGCUUAGGAAUCUGCCUAUUAGUGGGGGACAACAUCUCGAAAGGGAUGCUAAUACCGCAUACGUCCUACGGGAGAAAGCAGGGGAUCACUUGUGACCUUGCGCUAAUAGAUGAGCCUAAGUCGGAUUAGCUAGUUGGUGGGGUAAGGGCCUACCAAGGCGACGAUCUGUAGCGGGUCUGAGAGGAUGGUCCGCCACACUGGGACUGAGACACGGCCCAGACUCCUACGGGAGGCAGCAGUGGGGAAUAUUGGACAAUGGGGGGGAACCCUGAUCCAGCCAUGCCGCGUGUGUGAAGAAGGCCUUAUGGUUGUAAAGCACUUUAAGCGAGGAGGAGGCUCUUUUGGUUAAUACCCAAGAUGAGUGGACGUUACUCGCAGAAUAAGCACCGGCUAACUCUGUGCCAGCCGCCGCUGUAA
rnacentral:rRNA from 1 species